UCCCUGGUGGUCCAGUGGCUAGGACUGCAUGCUUCCAAUGCAAGGGGCCUGGGUUCCAUCCCUGGUCAGGGAA
rnacentral:tRNA from 1 species